GAGUAAAGAUUUCGGUCGCUUUGGGAGGAGCUCGCUUACUAUCAGCUUGUUGGUAGGGUAAUGGCCUACCAAGGCUAUGACGGUUAGGGGGUGUGAGAGCAUGACCCCCAGCAUUGGCACUGAAACACUGGCCAAACACCUACGGGUGGCUGCAGUCGAGAAUCUUCCACAAUGGGGGAAACCCUGAUGGAGCGAUGCUGCGUGCGGGAUGAAGGCCUUCGGGUUGUAAACCGCUUUUGUAGGGGACGAAAUUUUUGACGGUACCCUUUCGAAUAAGAGGUUGCUAACUCUGUGCCAGCAGCAGCGGUAAUACAGAGACCUCAAGCGUUAUCCGGAUUUACUGGGCGUAAAGCGUCUGUAGGGGGUUUAUUAAGUUCCAAGUAAAAUUUCAAGGCUCAACUUUGAAUUCGCUUGGAAAACUAAUAAACUGGAGUCUAGCAGAGGUGCAUGGAACUUGUGGUGUAGGAGUGAAAUCCGUUGAUAUCACAAGGAACACCAAAGGCGAAGGCAUUGCACUGGGCUAGCACUGACCCUGAGAGACGAAAGCGUGGGGAGCAAAACGGAUUAGAUACCCGUGUAGUCCACGCCCUAAACGAUGAAUGCUAAAUGUUCGGGGAUUCGACCCCCUGGGUGUUACAGCUAACGCGUUAAGCAUUCCGCCUGGGAAGUACGGCCGCAAGGCUAAAACUCAAAGGAAUAGACGGGGAUCCGCACAAGCGGUGGAGCGUCUGGUUUAAUUCGACAGUAAGCGUGGUACCUCACCAGGGUUUGACAUCCCUUGACAGCCUUGGAAACAAGGUUUCCUUCGGGCAAGGUGACAGGUGCUGCAUGGUCGUCGUCAGUUCGUGCCGUGAGGUGUUCCGUUAAGUCGGGAAACGAACGAAACCCCUAUUGCAUGUUACAAUUUCUCAUGCAAGACUGCCCGGAUGUACUGGGAGGAAGGUGGGGAUGACGUCAGAUCUGCAUGGUCCUUAUACCCUGGGCGACACAGGCGCUACAAUGGCAGAGACAAAGGGUUGCAAAACCGCCAGGUGAAGCUAAUCCCAAAAACUUUGUCUAAGUUCGGAUUGAAGGCUGCAAUUCGCCUUCAUGAAGCUGGAAUCGCUAGUAAUCGUGAAUCAGCCACGUCACGGUGAAUAUGUUCCCGGAUCUUGUACUCACCGCCCGUCACACCAAGAGAGU
rnacentral:rRNA from 1 species